AUUGAACGCUGGCGGCAUGCUUUACACAUGCAAGUCGAACGGCAGCGCGGGCUUCGGCCUGGCGGCGAGUGGCGAACGGGUGAGUAAUGCAUCGGAACGUGCCCAGUAGUGGGGGAUAGCCCGGCGAAAGCCGGAUUAAUACCGCAUACGACCUGAGGGUGAAAGCGGGGGACCGAAAGGCCUCGCGCUAUUGGAGCGGCCGAUGUCGGAUUAGCUAGUUGGUGGGGAAAAGGCUUACCAAGGCGACGAUCCGUAGCUGGUCUGAGAGGACGACCAGCCACACUGGGACUGAGACACGGCCCAGACUCCUACGGGAGGCAGCAGUGGGGAAUUUUGGACAAUGGGGGCAACCCUGAUCCAGCCAUGCCGCGUGCGGGAAGAAGGCCUUCGGGUUGUAAACCGCUUUUGUUCGGGAAGAAAUCCUCUGGGCUAAUACCCCGGGGGGAUGACGGUACCGGAAGAAUAAGCACCGGCUAACUACGUG
rnacentral:rRNA from 1 species